AUAUAAUUUGAUCUACAGUGUGAUAGAAGACAAAUAUAAGACUUUAAUCAAAAUAACAAUGAAUCAACGAAUAUUAAAGUUUGAUAAUCGUGGGAAAAAGGGGGGUCACAUUGUGAAGUAAAAGUUUAUCUAAUCAUAUGAUGUAAACGCAUACAUCAGAACAUCUGAUGUUCCCUUAAAUUGCAGGUUAUAUCCCAGAAAUAUCAAAACGCAAACAUCAGAACGUCUGAUGUGAUAUUUUACGGGACUGAAAAAGGGGGG
rnacentral:lncRNA from 1 species